UGGUCAGACCAUAGAUAGUAUAGAAGACAGCUCGCUAGCGUGUCUAGUCUGUGUAUAUCUGUGGUCGGCACGUCUGGCAGCGUCUCUGGCUGCUGUUGACCUUGUUUUUGGAGUAAAACACGGUGGAAGCUGAAUUAGUGAGGAUGACUCCUGCUCCUGUCAUCUCUAAGCUCCUCACACAUCUUUACCUGCACAUGAGGAAAAUCACUCCUGUAGAAUGCAGAUGUUCAGAGGGAGAUGAUGCCACAUCUGGUCCAGCCGAUGGAAGGUCUUGAAGUUCUCUGACUGGCCUCGACUGAAGAUGGUCGUCUCACUGGAUUUAAGAUGCACAAUGAGGGACGUCUGCAGAGACUGAGAAAGAGUCUCACCACAUCCUGACAUGAGGAAAAAGACUUGAUUGAAGACUACAAUGAGAAAAACUAUCAGACAGCAGACGGCUGCAUUCAAGGUGAGCUCUGAACAUUUGAUCUGGAACAGGAAUUCAAUAACGGCAGCAUGAGCUUCAUUUCAGUCUGUAGCUGCUGAAUUCAUGGAUGAAUCAUCUGGCACUAGAGAGGAAGACCAUCAAACAUCCACGUCAGCUGAUGGAGGUCCAAGAGUCUCACCCAACAAACAACCUACAGAGUGAAGACCUCGAAUCUGAUUGGACAGCCUCCUAUUCAGCCACAUGUGUGAACAAAUGCCUCUAAGUUGAUUUGUUUUCUAAAAUAAAUCUAGUUUGAGUCCUAA